CACAGGAGCCACAGAGGGCAAGAGCCUCCCUGUGGGCUGAGACAUAGCUGGACAGAAAGGACCUCACCAGCCAGGGGCUGGGUUAGAAGAACGGAUGCUUUGGAGUUAAGUUUCCCCAUGGCUACGUGGGGCACUCUACUCAGGAAGGCACGUCUCCAGAAGACGCUGGUGGGCUGCGUGAGCACACCAUUCCUAAAGGAAGCUCUAGUCCCCAAGACCGAGUGGAAGCCUGACACAGCAAGUUGCUAACCUUCGAGACAUGGUUGCCAUGCUUACAGCAGAAUCUGAAUCCAGAUGCGGAGGGAAAUUCUGCCUGUUUCUGCCACCCUCCCACCCCAGGCAAGUGGAUCCAAGCUGCUGACUUCAUGCCCCAGGGGAGUACUACCCAGCCUCGAAGAAACUGGCUACUCAGACCAGCCAACCCUCAUGAGUCAUACAAGCCGACAUGACCCAGAAAGAAGCUGGAGUCUGAGGGCUGUCGGUGUCUAAAGGGGGAAUGGACUCUCGUGUUUCUUGAUUUGGGCGCUGGGUGCUGAGUUACAUGCAUUCGUCAGAGCUCCCAGAACGGCAAGCUAAACCGGGUGGAUGUCACUG